rnacentral:lncRNA from 1 species
GUAGUUUCAGUAGAGAGAGGAGUUUCUGUAGUUUCAGUAGAGAAAAGAGUUUCAGUAGUUUCAGUAGAGAGAGGAGUUUUAGUAGUUUCAGUCGAGAGAGGACUUUCAGUAGUUUCAGUAGAGAGAGGAGUUUCAGUAGAGAGAGGAGAGAGAGGAGAGAGAGGAGUUUCAGUAGUUUCAGUAGAGAGAGGAGAGAGGAGUUUCAGUAGUUUCAGUAGAAAGAGGAGAGAGAGCAGUUUCAGUAGUUUCAGUAGAGAGAGGAGAGAGAGGAGAGAGGAGAGAGAGGAGAGAGAGAGAGAGAGAGAGAGAGAGAGAGAGAGAGAGAGAGAGAGUGGACUUUCAGUAGUUUCAGUAGAGAGAUGAGUUUCAGUAGUUUCAGUAGAGAGAGGAGAGAGAGGAGAGAGAGGAGUUUCAGUAGUUUCAGUAGAGAGGGGAGAGAGAGGAGAGAGAGGAGAGAGAGGAGAGAGAGGAGUUUCAGUAGUUUCAGUAGAGAGAGGACUUUCAGUAGUUUCAGUAGAGAGAGGAGAGAGAGGAGUUUCAGUAGAGAGAGGAGAGAGAGGAGUUUCAGUAGUUUCAGUAGAGAGGGGAGAGAGAGGAGAGAGAGGAGAGAGAGGAGUUUCAGUAGUUUCAGUAGUUUCAGUAGAGAGAGGAGAGAGAGGAGAGAGAGGAGAGAGAGGGGAGAGAGGAGUUUCAGUAGUUUCAGUAGAGAGAGGAGAGAGAGAGGAGAGAGAGGAGUUUCAGUAGUUUCAGUAGUUUCAGUAGUUUCAGUAGAGAGAGGAGAGAGAGGAGAGAGAGGAGUUUCAGUAGUUUUAGUAGAGAGAGGAGAGAGAGGAGAGAGAGGAGAGAGAGGAGAGAGGAGAGAGAGGAGAGAGGAGAGAGGAGAGAGAGGAGAGAGAGGAGAGAGAGGAGUUUCAGUAGAGAGAGGAG